GAACGGCGGGAAAGGCUGCACCUGAGGCGGAGCGAGCCGUGCGUCGCGAGCUGGCCUGACGAGGCCUGGAGGGGCCCGAGAUGUUCGGGGAGCGGAGAGUCCGAAUCAAUGUCAACAGCAUGGGAUUAUGAGAAUCGGAAGUCCUCCUGGUUAUUUUGAGAGAGAGACAGAGCAUGAACGGGGGAGGGGCAGAGAGAGAGGGAG